rnacentral:tRNA from 1 species
GUUUUAAUAGUUUAAAAAAACAUUGAUCUUGUAAGUCAAAAAUAAGGAUUAACCUUUUAAAACU